UGGCGACGAAGGAGGCUGAAACAACGGUCUUUAGGGACAUGAUUACUUGUCCGGUUACCUCGUCAUCUGAUGCUAGUCAGGUUGGCCAGUGUAUAAAACUAGCGUUGAAGAAUUUAGGCUACUCUGGAUGUAUCACCAUCACAGCACUUGGCAUACUAACAAGCAUCGAUACCGACGUCCUGCGAGCCAUCUAUUCCUCUGGAGUCUCUCUUAUUCACAUCAAUACCCAUCGCUUUGGCUUUGCUAUGGAAGUGAUGUCAUGGAGACGCAAACAUCAGCUCCCUGCUAAUUUCAUGCUCAUAUCCGGUGAGGAGUCCUUCCUUCGUUAUGAUAGCCGCCUCAGCUCGUCCGGACACAGCGUUAUUCUGACAUUACCAUUUGGUCCUCCUCCUCAACAACAAGUCUUAUCUAUUCCUGUACUUGCCCCUGUCUAGGAAAGCUUUCUGGCAAGCUCACGGGAAGAUGCAAUUGAGUCAGUGGUACAUGACAAGGAGCCGGGUUGGUUUUGCGCACGUUGUUGUCUUCCUGGCGACCAAGGCUUUGACAAUUUCGCCUCACAUCUCAAAGGUCAUCCUCACGUUUCCCCUGAAUCUCUUCGGGAGAUGAAGAGGAAACAACCAGAGG